rnacentral:sRNA from 1 species
GCUGGGUAUGGUGGUGUGCACCUGUAGUCCUAGCUCUUCAGGAGGCCAAGGCGGGAGGAUGGCUAGAGCACAGGAGUUUGAGGUCAGCCUGGAUAACAAAGUGAGAUCUUUUUUUUA